rnacentral:rRNA from 1 species
GGGAGACACACGGCGGGUGCUAACGUCCGUCGUGAAGAGGGAAACAACCCAGACCGCCAGCUAAGGUCCCAAAGUCAUGGUUAAGUGGGAAACGAUGUGGGAAGGCCCAGACAGCCAGGAUGUUGGCUUAGAAGCAGCCAUCAUUUAAAGAAAGCGUAAUAGCUCACUGGUCGAGUCGGCCUGCGCGGAAGAUGUAACGGGGCUAAACCAUGCACCGAAGCUGCGGCAGCGAACGUAUCACCCAAGACAACUUUGCGGAGUUGACGAUUGACGGAGCGAAGCGACGUCAAAGCGUUCAUUAAAGUCGAGUUGGCUUAGGGAUACGUUCGUUGGGUAGGGGAGCGUUCUGUAAGCCAGUGAAGGUGUGUCGUGAGGCAUGCUGGAGGUAUCAGAAGUGCGAAUGCUGACAUAAGUAACGAUAAAGCGGGUGAAAAGCCCGCUCGCCGGAAGACCAAGGGUUCCUGUCCAACGUUAAUCGGGGCAGGGUGAGUCGACCCCUAAGGCGAGGCCGAAAGGCGUAGUCGAUGGGAAACGGGUUAAUAUUCCCGUACUUGGUGUUACUGCGAAGGGGGGACGGAGAAGGCUAUGUUGGCCGGGCGACGGUUGUCCCGGUUUAAGCGUGUAGGUGUGUGUUCCAGGUAAAUCCGGUUCACUUUAACACUGAGGCGUGACGACGAGGCACUACGGUGCUGAAGCAACAAAUGCCCUGCUUCCAGGAAAAGCCUCUAAGCAUCAGGUAACAUCAAAUCGUACCCCAAACCGACACAGGUGGUCAGGUAGAGAAUACCAAGGCGCUUGAGAGAACUCGGGUGAAGGAACUAGGCAAAAUGGUGCCGUAACUUCGGGAGAAGGCACGCUGACACGUAGGUGAAGUGAUUUACUCAUGGAGCUGAAGUCAGUCGAAGAUACCAGCUGGCUGCAACUGUUUAUUAAAAACACAGCACUGUGCAAACACGAAAGUGGACGUAUACGGUGUGACGCCUGCCCGGUGCCGGAAGGUUAAUUGAUGGGGUCAGCGCAAGCGAAGCUCCUGAUCGAAGCCCCGGUAAACGGCGGCCGUAACUAUAACGGUCCUAAGGUAGCGAAAUUCCUUGUCGGGUAAGUUCCGACCUGCACGAAUGGCGUAAUGAUGGCCAGGCUGUCUCCACCCGAGACUCAGUGAAAUUGAACUCGCUGUGAAGAUGCAGUGUACCCGCGGCAAGACGGAAAGACCCCGUGAACCUUUACUAUAGCUUGACACUGAACAUUGAGCCUUGAUGUGUAG